CCCUUAGAUGUUCUGGGCCGCACGCGUGCUACACUGAGUGGAUCAGCGGGUCAGGUUGCGCGAAAGUGUUUCCUAAUCUUGAAAUCCGCUCGUGAUGGGGAUUGACGGUUGCAAUUUUCCGUCAUGAACGAGGAAUACCUUGUAAGCGCGGGUCAUCAUCCCGCGCUGAAUACGUCCCUGCCCUUUGUACACACCGCCCGUCGCUCCUACCAAUUGAGUGGUCCGGUGAGGCUUUGGGAUCUGAGCAAAGAGAGCGUUUCGCUCGUUUUGCCCGGAAAACUCAGUCGAACCUUAUCAUUUAGAGGAAGGAGAAGUCGUAACA
rnacentral:rRNA from 1 species